rnacentral:rRNA from 1 species
UACGGAGGGUGCAAGCGUUAAUCGGAAUUACUGGGCGUAAAGCGCGCGUAGGUGGUUUGUUAAGUUGGAUGUGAAAUCCCCGGGCUCAACCUGGGAACUGCAUUCAAAACUGACUGACUAGAGUAUGGUAGAGGGUGGUGGAAUUUCCUGUGUAGCGGUGAAAUGCGUAGAUAUAGGAAGGAACACCAGUGGCGAAGGCGACCACCUGGACUAAUACUGACACUGAGGUGCGAAAGCGUGGGGAGCAAACAGG